GACGAACGCUGGCGGCGUGCUUAACACAUGCAAGUCGAACGGAAAGGCCCUGCUUUUGUGGGGUGCUCGAGUGGCGAACGGGUGAGUAGCACGUGAGUAACCUGCCCUUGACUUUGGGAUAACUUCAGGAAACUGGGGCUAAUACCGGAUAGGAGCUCCUGCUGCAUGGUGGGGGUUGGAAAGUUUCGGCGGUUGGGGAUGGACUCGCGGCUUAUCAGCUUGUUGGUGGGGUAGUGGCUUACCAAGGCUUUGACGGGUAGCCGGCCUGAGAGGGUGACCGGCCACAUUGGGACUGAGAUACGGCCCAGACUCCUACGGGAGGCAGCAGUGGGGAAUAUUGCACAAUGGGCGGAAGCCUGAUGCAGCAACGCCGCGUGCGGGAUGACGGCCUUCGGGUUGUAAACCGCUUUCGCCGGUGACGAAGCGUGAGUGACGGUAAUGGGUAAAGAAGCACCGGCUAACUACGUG
rnacentral:rRNA from 1 species